rnacentral:rRNA from 1 species
AGAAUCAACGCUGGCGGCGUGCCUAACACAUGCAAGUCGAACGAGAAAGGGGUAGCAAUACCCUGAGUAAAGUGGCGCACGGGUGAGUAACACGUGACUAACCUACCCUUGAGUGGGGGAUAACUGAGGGAAACCUUAGCUAAUACCGCAUAAUACCCACGGGUCAAAGGAGCAAUUCGCUCGAGGAGGGGGUCGCGGCCGAUUAGUUAGUUGGCGGGGUAAUGGCCCACCAAGACGAUGAUCGGUAUCCGGCCUGAGAGGGCGCGACGGACGACGACUGGAACUGAAACACGGUCCAGACUCCUACGGGAGGCAGCAGUGGGGAAUUUUGCGCAAUGGGGGAAACCCUGACGCAGCAACGCCGCGUGGAGGAUGAAGUCCCUUGGGAUGUAAACUCCUUUCGAUCGGGACGAUUAUGACGGUACCGGAAGAAGAAGCACCGGCUAACUCUGUGCCAGCAGCCGC